rnacentral:rRNA from 1 species
GCCCUAGUAACGGCGAGUGAAGCGGCAACAGCUCAAAUUUGAAAUCUGGCCCUCGGGUCCGAGUUGUAAUUUGUAGAGGAUGCUUUUGGUGCGGUGCCUUCCGAGUUCCCUGGAACGGGACGCCAUAGAGGGUGAGAGCCCCGUCUGGUCGGAUACCAAUCCUCUGUAAAGCUCCUUCGACGAGUCGAGUAGUUUGGGAAUGCUGCUCUAAAUGGGAGGUAUAUGUCUUCUAAAGCUAAAUACCGGCCAGAGACCGAUAGCGCACAAGUAGAGUGAUCGAAAGAUGAAAAGCACUUUGAAAAGAGGGUUAAACAGUACGUGAAAUUGUUGAAAGGGAAGCGCUUGUGACCAGACUUGGGCCCGGUUAAUCAUCCAGUGUUCUCACUGGUGCACUUGGCCGGCCCAGGCCAGCAUCAGUUCGGCGCGGGGGAUAAAGGCUUCGGGAAUGUGGCUCCUCCGGGAGUGUUAUAGCCCGUUGUGCAAUACCCUGCGCUGGACUGAGGUUCGCGCAUCUGCAAGGAUGCUGGCGUAAUGGUCAUCAGCGACCCGUCUUGAAACACGGACCAAGGAGUCGUCUUCGUAUGCGAGUGUUCGGGUGUUAAACCCCUACGCGUAAUGAAAGUGAACGCAGGUGAGAGCUUCGGCGCAUCAUCGACCGAUCCUGAUGUUCUCGGAUGGAUUUGAGUAAGAGCAUACGGGGCCGGACCCGAAAGAAGGUGAACUAUGCCUGUAUAGGGUGAAGCCAGAGGAAACUCUGGUGGAGGCUCGCAGCGGUUCUGACGUGCAAAUCGAUCGUCAAAUAUGGGCAUGGGGGCGAAAGACUAAU